rnacentral:tRNA from 1 species
GGGCGUAUAGCUCAGCUGGGAGAGCGCUACAAUCGCACUGUAGAGGUCAGGGGUUCGAAUCCCCUUACGUCCA